rnacentral:rRNA from 1 species
GAGUUUGAUCAUGGCUCAGAUUGAACGCUGGCGGCAUGCCUUACACAUGCAAGUCGAACGGCAGCACGGGAGCUUGCUCCUGGUGGCGAGUGGCGAACGGGUGAGUAAUGCAUCGGAACGUAUCCUGGAGUGGGGGAUAACGUAGCGAAAGUUACGCUAAUACCGCAUAUUCUGUGAGCAGGAAAGCGGGGGACCUUCGGGCCUCGCGCUCUUGGGAGCGGCCGAUGGUCGGAUUAGCUAGUUGGUGAGGUAAAGGCUCACCAAGGCGACGAUCCGUAGCAGGUCUGAGAGGAUGAUCUGCCACACUGGAACUGAGAC